GUGACAGCAGCCGCGGUAAUACGGAGGGUGCAAGCGUUGUCCGGAUUUAUUGGGUUUAAAGGGUGCGUAGGCGGCUUAUUAAGUCAGGGGUGAAAGACUAUUGCUUAACAAUGGCAGUGCCUUUGAUACUGAUAGGCUUGAGUACAGUUGAGGCAGAUGGAACGGGUGGUGUAGCGGUGAAAUGCAUAGAUACCAUCCAGAACACCGAUUGCGAAGGCAGUCUGCUAAACUGUAACUGACGCUGAGGCACGAAAGCGUGGGGAUCGAACAGGAUUAGAUACCCGCGUAGUCC
rnacentral:rRNA from 1 species